rnacentral:rRNA from 1 species
UACAGAGGUCUCAAGCGUUGUUCGGAUUCAUUGGGCGUAAAGGGUGUGUAGGUGGCGCCGUAAGUCGGGUGUGAAAUUUCGGAGCUUAACUCCGAAACUGCAUUCGAUACUGCGGUGCUUGAGGACUGGAGAGGAGACUGGAAUUUACGGUGUAGCGGUGAAAUGCGUAGAUAUCGUAAGGAAGACCAGUGGCGAAGGCGGGUCUCUGGACAGUUCCUGACGCUGAGGCACGAAGGUCAGGGGGAGCAAAACGGG